AAUGGCCCAACUUGUGAAAUGGUAACCCCAAAACUACAGAUUUCUGUAUCCCCUGAAGUCUCCCCUCACCUGAUCCUGGGACAGAGGAGGUUUAUGGGGUGUUGCAGGUGUCCAGCAGCAGCCACUGGGACACACCCUGGAGCCUGAGAAAACAGCCUCAGUAGAAGCUGCUCUUGGAGCAGUGACAGCAUCCUGUAAACAGCUGUGAAAGCCAGUCCUUCCCAUACAAUGCUCUGGAAUCCUUUGAUGUUGGAGACAGAAGGGUAAGUCUGAAAAAUAGCUCAGAGAUCCUGAUCCUGCCAUUCUGUGUUAAUUUGUUGGGGGAAUAAAACUCUCUAAAAAAGCUUUUCUUUUUUAGGUUAGUAGACAUGAAGAAGGUUAGUCCUUUUCAGAUUAUCCAACAAAAGCAGAAAUAUCCAGAAAAUAGCAAUUCCUUCUUUGUCUGGAGGCCUGUUUGUGGUGUCAUAAGCAACCAACCCCUUUUUGUGGUACAACACACUGGUGUGAAGCCAGAGCUCACCGAUGUUACAGCGUGGUGUUGUGCAAGCGUUUGCACAUGGGUAAAUGCAUCACACACGAGGAAAGAAGCAUCUUGUCCUGAUGGGAAUAUGAAGUGCUGCCACACCACUGUCUGGACCACUGCAGCAGAGUCAAGGCUGAGCAGAAGUCCUCUUUUCCCAAUAAUCUGGUUCUUCCAGUUCCUGAAGACACUGCUAAUAAUCUUCAGACUGGGGAGGGAUUUCAACUUGUGUUUUUAAACUUCACAUUAACAUUUUUACCUCUAAGAGGAACCUGAAGCAGUGUGUACCCUGACCUCACUUAGGCCACAGAAAACGAUUUGUUUUGUAAAGUGCUGCAUCCUUUGAAGCCAUGCCCACCUCUCGAGCCCAGUGCUGCAGGGCACCCUCCCCAUGUAGCUGGUGGAUGGGUGAUACAUCCCUCAUCUGCUCUGAGCAGUGAUCGAGGUGAGCAGAGGUUUUCUUUCAUGGACAGUGAUGGCCAGGAGAGGAUGCUCAGCAUGUGCUGUCUAAUGGUGCUGGCAGAGCUCUGCAGUAUGAUGCCAAGCAGCUUGGGGGAAAUGCCAUUUUUUACUCAGCACAUUCUCUGCAAAAUUACAGUUUGUCAGUGCUAGAAGUGUUUAGGAAAUGUGUCUGGGAAGUACAUGUCAGGGAUGCUUCUGGAAUUAAAGUGAGUACUUGUUUGACAUAAAUAGGAAACAUGAAAGGCUCAGCUCAGUUAAGCAUGUGCAGCAUCAGACCCUGAAUCAGGGAAGAGGGGCUGAUGUUCAGAUUGCUCCUUGGAAAAGUUACCCCAAGACUUCUCUCCUUUCCCUGCCCUUUCAUGGGUGCCCUUUUGGGUUCCCAGUUGAAGACUUUGCUGACUGCAGCUGGAGAUUAUGGGAGCGCAAUAGACAGGAAAGUAGGAGUCUAUUUAUCCCUGGCAACUCCUGCCUUUUUCUACUUUGGAUGGAAAAGAAGACGAAAGUCUACGGAGCACUUGAGUGAACAACAAAUGGCACAAGAACAAAUGCAGUGAAAGGGAAUGCCAAGGUUGUCAUCCCCCAUCAGCAGUUUGGAUGGGUUUCCUCCUCGGAGCAGCACGGGGGAGGCUGCGGGACCUCGUGCAGGAAGCAGGUGGUGUGCUUUACCCAGAGCCAUGCGUAAUGGCCAGGGAGCUGCGCCGCACGCCGGCCAAGCUUCAGCAGAUGGGCUGCAGUUUGCUCCCCUCAAGGAUAUUUUUCAUGUUAUGUGUGGAAAA
rnacentral:lncRNA from 1 species